rnacentral:rRNA from 1 species
GGCCUGGUUGGGUGGUCUUGCCGCAAGGUAAGCACUGCUCCGAUCGGGUCUUUCCUUCUGGGGAACCAGCGUGCUCUUAAUUGGGUGCGUUGGGGAUCCAGGACUUUUACUUUGAAAAAUUAGAGUGUUUAAAGCAGGCAAGCGCUUGAAUACAUUAGCAUGGAAUAAUGAAAUAGGACG